CACGUAGGAGGCAAACGUUAUCCGGAUUUACUGGGCGUAAAGCGCGUGUAGGUGGUUCUGUAAGUAGGCGUGAAAGCUCCGCUCAACUGGAGAGGCCGUUCUAAACUGCGAGCUAGAGGAUGGUAGAGGGAGGUGGAAUUCCAGGUGUAGCGGUGGAAUGCGCAGAUAUCUGGAGGAACACCAGUGGCGAAGGCGGCCUCCUGGACCAUUCCUGACACUCAGACGCGAAAGCUAGGGUAGCAAACGGGAUUAGAUACCCGUGUAGU
rnacentral:rRNA from 1 species